rnacentral:rRNA from 1 species
AGGGGUAUAGUUCUUCGGAACUAGAGACCGGCGCACGGGUGCGUAACGCGUAUGCAAUCUACCUUUCACAAAGGGAUAGCCCAGAGAAAUUUGGAUUAAUACCUUAUAGUAUAGCGACUUCGCAUGGAGAUGCUAUUAAAGAUUUAUCGGUGAAAGAUGAGCAUGCGUCCCAUUAGCUAGUUGGUAAGGUAACGGCUUACCAAGGCUACGAUGGGUAGGGGUCCUGAGAGGGAGAUCCCCCACACUGGUACUGAGACACGGACCAGACUCCUACGGGAGGCAGCAGUGAGGAAUAUUGGUCAAUGGGCGCAAGCCUGAACCAGCCAUGCCGCGUGCAGGAUGACGGUCCUAUGGAUUGUAAACUGCUUUUGUACAGGAAGAAACACUCCCUCGUGAGGGAGCUUGACGGUACUGUAAGAAUAAGGAUCGGCUAACUCCGUGCCAGCAGCCGCGGUAAUACGGAGGAUCCAAGCGUUAUCCGGAAUCAUUGGGUUUAAAGGGUCCGUAGGCGGCUUAAUAAGUCAGUGGUGAAAGCCCUACGCUUAACGUAGGAACGGCCAUUGAUACUGUUAGGCUUGAAUUAUUAGGAAGUAACUA